CCUACGGGAGGCAGCAGUGAGGAAUAUUGGUCAAUGGCCGUAAGGCUGAACCAGCCAAGUCGCGUGAAGGAAGAAGGAUCUAUGGUUUGUAAACUUCUUUUAUAGGGGAAUAAAGGUAUCCACGUGUGGAUAUUUGCAUGUACCCUAUGAAUAAGCAUCGGCUAACUCCGUGCCAGCAGCCGCGGUAAUACGGAGGAUGCGAGCGUUAUCCGGAUUUAUUGGGUUUAAAGGGUGCGUAGGUUGUUUUUUAAGUCAGCGGUGAAAGUUUGUGGCUCAACCAUAAAAUUGCCGUUGAAACUGGAAGACGUGAGUGUGUUUGAGGUAGGCGGAAUGCGUGGUGUAGCGGUGAAAUGCAUAGAGAUCACGCAGAACUCCGAUUGCGAAGGCAGCUUACUAAGCCAUAACUGACACUGAAGCACGAAAGCGUGGGGAUCAAACAGGAUUAGAUACCCGGGUAGUC
rnacentral:rRNA from 1 species